UACGGAGGGUGCAAACGUUGCUCGGAAUUAUUGGGCGUAAAGCGCACGUAGGCGGUUCGUUAUGUCGGAUGUGAAAGCCCUCGGCUUAACCGAGGAAGUGCAUCCGAAACUGGCGAGCUUGAGUAUGGAAGAGGGGGGUGGAAUUCCGCGUGUAGCAGUGAAAUGCGUAGAGAUGCGGAGGAACACCGAUGGCGAAGGCAGCCCCCUGGGCUGACACUGACGCUCAGGCACGAAAGCGUGGGGAGCAAACAGG
rnacentral:rRNA from 1 species